rnacentral:rRNA from 1 species
UACGGAGGGUGCGAGCGUUGUCCGGAAUCAUUGGGCGUAAAGGCGCGUAGGUAGCCCGGCAAGCGUGCGGUGAAAGUCGGGGGCUCAACCCCCGAUCGGCCGUGCGAACUGCGGGGCUGGAGCACUGUAGAGGCAGGCGGAAUUCCGGGUGUAGCGGUGGAAUGCGUAGAGAUCCGGAAGAACACCGGUGGCGAAGGCGGCAUCCUGGACCGGCAUUGACGCUGAGGCGCGAAAGCCAGGGGAGCAAACGGG